GGAGAGAUGGUCGAGCGGUUUAAGGCACCGGUCUUGAAAACCGGCGAAGGCGUCAGCCUUCCGUGGGUUCGAAUCCCACUCUCUCCG
rnacentral:tRNA from 1 species